rnacentral:siRNA from 1 species
GUAUAGGAGAAUACAUGGUCACA